rnacentral:pre_miRNA from 1 species
UGGGUGGUAUUGUCUGAUGUGUAUUAUGUUCUGAUGUCAGAACAUAAUACACAUCAGACAAUACCACCCA